rnacentral:tRNA from 1 species
UGUCAAGGGAUGGUAAUCGAACCCACGACCUUCCGCUUACCGGGCAGAUGCCAUGACCACUAGGCUACCCUGGAC